rnacentral:lncRNA from 1 species
AUGGGAUCUCGUAGUGUCAACAGCCCCUUAAGCGAUAAUCCUAGACGUACUUGCCCCUCAUGCCUUUUCUUAUAUUUGCCGUUUCAGUUCCUGACGAGUGGGCGAUCUGAAAACCACCACAUUUCUUCCUAUUGUAAAGAAGCCCAAAUGGGGAGCCAGGAAAAGACCCCAGGGAUGCCGCACGCCUCGGACAACGGCGUUCCUCCCUUCUCGUACCCCGGACUUGUACGCUCACAAGAAUUUGCAGGACACCGUGCCGUGCGGGCGCUGUGCUGGCCCAGGGUGCCUGACCAGAGGGGAGGAGAGGCUGUGAAGGACAGGGACAGAAGAGGAGGGACUCGGUCACAAGCUGAGGGACGCCUGGGCCCCUAAGACCUGGAAGAGGCGGGAAGGAUCCUCCCCUCCAGCCUCUGGAGCGAGGCCCUGUGACACCGAGAAUCGGGGCCUUCUGGCCUCCCAAACUGGGAGAGAAUAAAUUGUUGUUGCUCUAAUCA